AACACCCUCACUCCAGCCUGAGUUUUAAGGAUGGAUAGAGCUGCUUUGUGGUCUGAACUGUUCAUCUCGUACAACAGACAGAACAUCAACCUAUAAUUGCUGACUGGCGAGCCGGAGUGCAGCAGGACAGGCAGAGGACAAGGGAUAAGGACAUGCUGAAGCACAUCAACCAGCAGAAUACCUGACUGGCACUUCCAUUCCAAAGAAAGCACAGAUACAUACAAUACCUUCGAAUGAAAGGGACCGCUCACUCAGAGAGAGAAAUACUUCAGAGUUCUG